UGGGGAAUCUUGCGCAAUGCGCGAAAGCGUGACGCAGCAACGCCGCGUGGGGGAAGAAGGCCUUCGGGUUGUAAACCCCUUUCAGGGGGGAAGAAGCUUCGGCUGUGAAUAGCAGUCCGGAGUGACGGUACCCCCACAAGAAGCCCCGGCUAACUACGUGCCAGCAGCCGCGGUAAUACGUAGGGGGCCAGCGUUGUCCGGAAUCAUUGGGCGUAAAGCGCGCGUAGGCGGUCGGAUAAGUCCGGUGUGAAAGUCACAGGCUCAACCUGUGAAUGCCGCUGGAAACUGUCUGGCUUGAGUCCGGGAGGGGCGAGUGGAAUUCCUGGUGUAGCGGUGAAAUGCGCAGAUAUCAGGAGGAACACCAAUGGCGAAGGCAGCUCGCUGGAACGGUACUGACGCUGAGGCGCGAAAGCGUGGGGAGCGAACAG
rnacentral:rRNA from 1 species